AGCAGCCGCGGUAAUUCCAGCUCCAAUAGCGUAUAUUAAAGUUGUUGCAGUUAAAAAGCUCGUAGUUGAAUUUCGGGAUCAAUAUGUCGGUCGUGCCUUCGGUACGUACUGGUAUCAUUGGUCUCUCCCUUCUGACGAACCAUGAUGUCAUUAAUUUGGUGUUAUGGGGAGUUAGGACUGUUACUUUGAAAAAAUUAGAGUGUUUAAAGCAGGCUUUAGCUUGAAUACAUUAGCAUGGAAUAAUGAAAUAGGACGUUCGAACCUAUUUUGUUGGUUUCUAGGAUCAACGUAAUGAUUAAUAGGGAUAGUUGGGGGCAUUAGUAUUCAAUUGUCAGAGGUGAAAUUCUUGGAUUUAUUGAAGACUAACUACUGCGAAAGCAUUUGCCAAGGAUGUUUUCAUUAAUCAAGAACGAAAGUUAGGGGAUCGAAGACGAUCAGAUACCGUCGUAGUCUUAACCAUAAACUAUGCCGACUAGGGAUCGGAUGAUGUUAAUUUUUUAAUGACUCA
rnacentral:rRNA from 1 species